GAGAGCCGGAUACAUCGAAAGGUGUACGUCCGGUUCGGAGGGGGGCUGAUAGAAACCGGCCCUUAUCAGGGAUAAGGGAACUGGCGCUGUCUGUCUACCCUAC
rfam:Thermoactinomyces vulgaris strain NRRL F-5595 F5595contig2.1, whole genome shotgun sequence.